CCUGUGCGCCCCUCCCGACGGCGGCACCAGUUACCCAUCAGUUAUGGGAACAAGUUAACGAAUCCUGAGGCUUCCAACAAUUCAAUUAACAUUUUUCUUUGGAGAGCUUUUGAAAUAAGCCCCUGAUUUGCCCAUCAUAAGUGAUUAGGUGCUUUGACAGUGCACUGAUUUUUUUUCUUUUUUCUGCGUAUUUAGACCACAAGUGUUCAACUUCAAGGAGUCUGCGUGUCCAGUGGAGCUGCCAAUGUAAUGCAAGUUGUGAAUCUUGACCCUUGAGCAUCCUGUUUUCUCUUGGAGAUCAAUAUCCAGAUGUAUGGGUGAUUAUUGUGGCUUCA